rnacentral:rRNA from 1 species
GAUGAACGCUGGCGGCGUGCUUAACACAUGCAAGUCGAACGGGCACUUCGGUGCUAGUGGCAGACGGGUGAGUAACACGUGGGAACGUACCUUUCGGUUCGGAAUAAUCCAGGGAAACUUGGACUAAUACCGGAUACGCCCUUCGGGGAAAGAUUAUCGCCGAUAGAUCGGCCCGCGUCUGAUUAGCUAGUUGGUGAGGUAAUGGCUCACCAAGGCGACGAUCAGUAGCUGGUCUGAGAGGAUGACCAGCCACAUUGGGACUGAGACACGGCCCAA